GUGCACUUUAGCAUCACAUACAUGAAAAUGGCAAUGAGACAGUGAAGAUUGGCAUGGCCCCUAUGCAAAAUAAUAUGCAUAUUUAUAAAGUGUUCCAUAUUUUU
ensembl:snRNA U6 U6 spliceosomal RNA